GAUGAACGCUGGCGGCGUGCCUAAUACAUGCAAGUCGAGCGAACAGAUCAGGAGCUUGCUCCUCUGACGUUAGCGGCGGUCGGGUGAGUCACACGUGGAUAACCUACCUAUAAGACUGGGAUAACUUCGGGAAACCGGAGCUAAUACCGGAUAAUAUAUUGAACCGCAUGGUUCAAUAGUGAAAGACGGUUUUGCUGUCACUUAUAGAUGGAUCCGCGCCGCAUUAGCUAGUUGGUAAGGUAACGGCUUACCAAGGCAACGAUGGGUAGCCGACCUAAGCGGGUGGUCGGCCACACGGGAACUGAGACACGGCCCAGACUCCGACGGGAGGACGCAGUAGGGAAUCUUCCGGGAUGGGCGAGAGCCUGACGGAGCAACGCCGCGUGAGUGAUGAAGGUCUUCGGAUCGGAAAACUCUGUUAUUAGGGAAGAACAAAUGUGUAAGUAACUAUGCACGUCUUGACGGUACCUAAUCAGAAAGCCACGGCUAACUACGUG
rnacentral:rRNA from 1 species